rnacentral:rRNA from 1 species
CUGGGCGUUAAGUUGCAGGGUAUAGACCCGAAACCCGGUGAUCUAGCCAUGGGCAGGUUGAAGGUUGGGUAACACUAACUGGAGGACCGAACCGACUAAUGUUGAAAAAUUAGCGGAUGACUUGUGGCUGGGGGUGAAAGGCCAAUCAAACCGGGAGAUAGCUGGUUCUCCCCGAAAGCUAUUUAGGUAGCGCCUCGUGAAUUCAUCUCCGGGGGUAGAGCACUGUUUCGGCAAGGGGGUCAUCCCGACUUACCAACCCGAUGCAAACUGCGAAUACCGGAGAAUGUUAUCACGGGAGACACACGGCGGGUGCUAACGUCCGUCGUGAAGAGGGAAACAACCCAGACCGCCAGCUAAGGUCCCAAAGUCAUGGUUAAGUGGGAAACGAUGUGGGAAGGCCCAGACAGCCAGGAUGUUGGCUUAGAAGCAGCCAUCAUUUAAAGAAAGCGUAAUAGCUCACUGGUCGAGUCGGCCUGCGCGGAAGAUGUAACGGGGCUAAACCAUGCACCGAAGCUGCGGCAGCGA